rnacentral:rRNA from 1 species
CCCCUAGAUGUUCUGGGCCGCACGCGCGCUACACUGAACAGUUCAACAAGUCUUAACCUUGGCCGAUAGGUCUGGGUAAUCUUUGAACGCUGUUCGUGAUUGGGAUAGACCUUUGCAAUUAUGGGUCUUCAACGAGGAAUUCCUAGUAAACGCAAGUCAUCAGCUUGCAUUGAUUACGUCCCUGCCCUUUGUACACACCGCCCGUCGCACCUACCGAUUGAGUGAUCCGGUGAAUAAUUCGGACUGCGGCAUUGACCGGUUCCCGAUCGUUGCUGCGGAAAGUUUAGUGAACCUUAUCACUUAGAGGAAGGAGAAGUCGUAACA